rnacentral:rRNA from 1 species
CCUACGGGAGGCAGCAGUGGGGAAUAUUGGGCAAUGGAGGAAACUCUGACCCAGCGACGCCGCGUGCGGGAUGAAGGCCUUCGGGUUGUAAACCGCUUUCAGUAGGGAAGAAGCGAAAGUGACGGUACCUACAAAAGAAGCACCGGCUAACUAUGUGCCAGCAGCCGCGGUAAUACAUAGGGUGCAAGCGUUGUCCGGAAUUAUUGGGCGUAAAGAGCUCGUAGGUCGUUUGUUACGUCGGAUGUGAAAACCUGAGGCUCAACCUCAGGCCUGCAUUCGAUACGGGCAAACUAGAGUUUGGUAGGGGAGACUGGAAUUCCUGGUGUAGCGGUGGAAUGCGCAGAUAUCAGGAGGAACACCAAUGGCGAAGGCAGGUCUCUGGGCCAAUACUGACACUGAGGAGCGAAAGUCUGGGGAGCGAACAGGAUUAGAUACCCUGGUAGUCCAGACCGUAAACGGUGGGCACUAGUUGUGGGAACCUUCCACGGUUUCUGCGACGCAGCUAACGCAUUAAGUGCCCCGCCUGGGGAGUACGAUCGCAAGAUUAAAACUCAAAGAAUUGACGG